rnacentral:rRNA from 1 species
UGGGGAAUAUUGGACAAUGGGGGGAACCCUGAUCCAGCCAUGCCGCGUGUGUGAAGAAGGUCUUCGGAUUGUAAAGCACUUUCAGUUGGGAGGAAGGGCAGUAAGCGAAUACCUUGCUGUUUUGACGUUACCGACAGAAUAAGCACCGGCUAACUCUGUGCCAGCAGCCGCGGUAAUACAGAGGGUGCAAGCGUUAAUCGGAAUUACUGGGCGUAAAGCGCGCGUAGGUGGUUCGUUAAGUUGAAUGUGAAAGCCCCGGGCUCAACCUGGGAACUGCAUCCAAAACUGGCGAGCUAGAGUAGGGCAGAGGGUGGUGGAAUUUCCUGUGUAGCGGUGAAAUGCGUAGAUAUAGGAAGGAACACCAGUGGCGAAGGCGACCACCUGGGCUCAUACUGACACUGAGGUGCGAAAGCGUGGGGAGCAAACAGG